rnacentral:rRNA from 1 species
CCUACGGGAGGCAGCAGUGGGGAAUUUUGGACAAUGGGCGCAAGCCUGAUCCAGCAAUGCCGCGUGCAGGAUGAAGGCCUUCGGGUUGUAAACUGCUUUUGUACGGAGCGAAACGGUCUGCUUUAAUACAGUGGGCUAAUGACGGUACCGUAAGAAUAAGCACCGGCUAACUACGUGCCAGCAGCCGCGGUAAUACGUAGGGUGCAAGCGUUAAUCGGAAUUACUGGGCGUAAAGCGUGCGCAGGCGGUUAUAUAAGACAGAUGUGAAAUCCCCGGGCUCAACCUGGGACCUGCAUUUGUGACUGUAUAGCUAGAGUACGGUAGAGGGGGAUGGAAUUCCGCGUGUAGCAGUGAAAUGCGUAGAUAUGCGGAGGAACACCGAUGGCGAAGGCAAUCCCCUGGACCUGUACUGACGCUCAUGCACGAAAGCGUGGGGAGCAAACAGGAUUAGAUACCCUGGUAGUCCACGCCCUAAACGAUGUCAACUGGUUGUUGGGUCUUCACUGACUCAGUAACGAAGCUAACGCGUGAAGUUGACCGCCUGGGGAGUACGGCCGCAAGGUUGAAACUCAAAUGAAAUUGACGG